UUUCACUUUAAAGAACUUCGAAAUUUCUGAAUGCCAUACAUUUCACAUAAAUGCUCGGAUUGCUCCAAUAUUUUUAUAAAAGUUUGCAUUAUGUAUGAUACGUAUGUUUUCCAUAGGCGGGCCCGACUUGGGUAAAUACCCGUCCGUGGGUCCCGCGACUUUCCUUUAUGUAAUUCAGAGAAUCUUUGAAAGAAUUUGGUAUGAUUAUUAUUCCGAUUUUAAAUAUGAUCAUUUUACUUAUGUUUGAAUUUAUGAUAAUAAUUUUAUGCAUAUGACUACUCACGACUCUACUCGUGCAUUCUGUUAUUCCUUUCGCCGAGUCCCAGGCCGGUUCUGUUGUCGUGCACAUUUUGAUAUACUCCGGAGUUAUGCUGUGUUUAUGGUUCACCGAGCUACUCGCAAAAGAGGGUCGGGUUCCACCUAUAUUUGGUGUUAUGCUGUGUAUGGCGUUAUGUUGUGAUGUGAUAUGUGACGGGGAUACGGAGAUUUGAAACUUUCUGGUGUUAUGCUGUGUUAUGGCGCCAUCGACGGGUGGGCGACCAUAUUCUUCUGUACCCUAUGCAUUACUUACAUAUUUUUGAAAGUACAGAUGCACAGUUUGGUGAUCUACCCAUUUAGGACACCCUCUUCUGCUGUUUGGAGUGCUCUUCUCAUUUCAGAGCACACAUUUUGGUAUAUAUUCGUUCGCUAUGUAUAUAUGUAUUUGUUCAGGGGCACGGCGGGGCCCUGUCCCGCCAUAUGAUUUGGUUUGUCUGUUUAGAGGUCUGUAGACGUAUUUGUGGGUGUGUGUGCCUACUUCUGUACGGAUGUGUUUGCAUGACUCUAUUCGUUAUGGCAGCCUCGUCGGCGUGCAUUUUGUAUAUGUUUGUGGCAGCCUUGUCGGCGUGCAUUUGUAUAUGCGUUUUGGGCCGUUGUGCCAUUUGACA